CCAAACUUGGUCAUUUAGAGGAAGUAAAAGUCGUAACAAGGUUUCCGUAGGUGAACCUGCGGAAGGAUCAUUACAGAAUUAGAGCUUAAUUGCUUUACACAUGUGUUUUUCUUUUUUGAAAACUUGCUUUGGUGGUGCUAGUCGCCGCCAGAGAUUAAACUUCAACAAACUUUUUAUUAAUAGUCAAAACCAAAACAUAAUAGUCAAAACUUUCAACAACGGAUCUCUUGGUUCUCGCAUCGAUGAAGAACGCAGC
rnacentral:misc_RNA from 1 species